rnacentral:rRNA from 1 species
UACGGAGGAUCCGAGCGUUAUCCGGAUUUAUUGGGUUUAAAGGGAGCGUAGAUGGAUGUUUAAGUCAGUUGUGAAAGUUUGCGGCUCAACCGUAAAAUUGCAGUUGAUACUGGAUAUCUUGAGUGCAGUUGAGGCAGGCGGAAUUCGUGGUGUAGCGGUGAAAUGCUUAGAUAUCACGAAGAACUCCGAUUGCGAAGGCAGCCUGCUAAGCUGCAACUGACAUUGAGGCUCGAAAGUGUGGGUAUCAAACAGGAUUAGAUACCCUGGUAGUCCACACGGUAAACGAUGAAUACUCGCUGUUUGCGAUAUACGGCAAGCGGCCAAGCGAAAGCGUUAAGUAUUCCACCUGGGGAGUACGCCGGCAACGGUGAAACUCAAAGGAAUUGACGGGGGCCCGCACAAGCGGAGGAACAUGUGGUUUAAUUCGAUGAUACGCGAGGAACCUUACCCGGGCUUAAAUUGCAGAUGAAUUACGGUGAAAGCCGUAAGCCGCAAGGCAUCUGUGAAGGUGCUGCAUGGUUGUCGUCAGCUCGUGCCGUGAGGUGUCGGCUUAAGUGCCAUAACGAGCGCAACCCUUGUUGUCAGUUACUAACAGGUGAUGCUGAGGACUCUGACAAGACUGCCAUCGUAAGAUGUGAGGAAGGUGGGGAUGACGUCAAAUCAGCACGGCCCUUACGUCCGGGGCUACACACGUGUUACAAUGGGGGGUACAGAGGGCCGCUACCACGCGAGUGGAUGCCAAUCCCCAAAACCUCUCUCAGUUCGGACUGGAGUCUGCAACCCGACUCCACGAAGCUGGAUUCGCUAGUAAUCGCGCAUCAGCCACGGCGCGGUGAAUACGUUCCCGGGCCUUGUACACACCGCCCGUCAAGCCAUGGGAGCCGGGGGUACCUGAAGUGCGUAACCGCGAGGAGCGCCCUAGGGUAAAACUGGUGACUGGGGCUAAGUCGUAACAAGGUAGCCGUACCGGAAGGUGCGGCUG